AGCUGACUGACUAUUCUAAUUCCGCCUUUAAGACUCAAAUCUAUAUUGUUAUCCCAAUAUAGAUUUGAGCUGGAAGGGAAAAGCAUCCUUAAAAACAUCGAUAAAGGAUGUCUCAGUCCAAAAAAUCCAAAAAAGGAGAUUGUAUUUACCUGGGUUGAGGCAUACAAUAUUAUUGACGUUUGUUUUUCUUUCUAUCUCGUACAUGUUAUGACGGCUAGAGAACAAGUUACAGAAAAAAAACUAGAGGGUGUUAUUAUUCCCUAAUGUAUGACUGAUCAUUUGUAACAUGUUUGUAACAAGCCAUUAGCAUGAAGUAUAUAAUUUUCCGAUAAUGAUUCUGUCUAGAUGAACUCAUGAGUACACCACCGACUACGAUUUUUAUUAUAUUUCUCUCAAUAGGGCGUUAGCUGUAAUAGGGAUGUAACACAGGUUUGAGGCUUGAGGUAGUUCAGAUAUGUUUUAUAAGUUUUGUGGGUUGUCGCACUGCCUUCCCGAACUAGUGUUUUUGUAAAGCUGACAUAACGACGAAUUGGACGGUCAUGUUUUUGCGAGUUUUAGGCUUUUUAGUUACGAAGGAGAAAGCAAUGAAAUCCAAUUUUAGGCUUGUAUUCGUCGCUAGAUGGCGUUCGGGUUGAAAAACGCACGCAUAGUAACCAUAGUAACCACAGGUGACAGGUAUGAGAGAAAGAGUUUGUAUAUGCCUGUAACGUGUUUUUAUGAAAUAGAUUUAUUAAUGAUACAGUCUUUUAAUUGGAAGGGGAAACGGGUAUUAGGACUACACAGUAUUAAAAGACUCUUCCCUGAAGGAAAUUUGCAGUUGUGGACUUUCUUUAGAUGACUCUUCUAUCAUAAAUAUUUUCCUGCUUCUUGGAACAAAAAACAUAUGAUGUCUUGAUGCCAACUAAGUGGCAUUGGAAAGAUUGUAAAAAGAUGUUAAAGGAAAAACCUAAAGUUGGAGGACGAUACAUUUGUUUCCUGUUACUAGUUUUCUAAAACAAAUGGUAAAUUGGUAAAAUGAAACAACACAUGACCUAUUCCUUUAAAUCAAUUAUUUUCACAAGUGGAGAUGAUUGAUUCCACAAUCUUCAGCUUCCCAGGCAGACACCCAUCCACAAAGCCAUGAAGUCAGCAACCAAUGUGUGGAAUCUGAUAUCCUAGCCCUCAAAGUCCCAGUUUAUUAAUAUGCUUAGGGCUUCUUCGCGCGCUAAUCCCAUAAAGACUCAUCAUAACGAUUCCGAAAUGGUUCGUCAGUUGCGCCUUCACGGCCGUGUAGUAGAACCUAUUAAAGAUGAAGUAAGGUUUUAGGUCGCGAGCUGGGUCUGUCCGCAGAAUUACUGGAACGUCACCCGUUUCCUGGUCCCGGUUUGUCAAUUGGAAAUCAUUUACGCCAAAGAACUGUUCGUGGAAGCUGAUUUCGGUGAGACGCAAGUGCUGAUUCGUUUGAUGGUCGAUUAUGCUAACAUUGCAGCCAAGGAACAUGCGUUGCUCAAUCGGAUUGAAAUCGUGACCUCGGAAGAAGAGCGUAUACUUCUGGAAGAACCGUCCAGUCGCAACCAGUGUGUUGCCACGUUACUGCCUAUUCGCACUGCCGGUGUUCAGGGAGAUUGCCGAUCUUAUAGCUAUUGCGUAGCACUGAGCUCUGAUCAGACACAACCAAACUGGAAAGUAUUACUGUAGGAAAGGGUACGUAGGCUUCUAAUAGUGAAGUACAGCUCUGACGUCUUUAGUAAGCGGAAAAGGUACUACUGUAUAUUGAAGUUUUAGAUGACGAUUUUAAGAAUGGACUCUUUUAGCAGUGGCACCCAAUCUUUAUUCUUAAAACCCAGAGGUGUUCUUCACUAUUCAGGAUGAUUGAUUGAUGAUACUUGUUGGUUAAACCAUGAAGAACACCAAUACAUGGAUAAGUGGAAGGUUAUAAAAGUAUAAAACUGUAAUUCCUUAUGGCAUUUUCAUUCACGCAUGCGCGGCAGUUCGUGAGCAGACGAAGCAUCGAAAGAGCCUAGCGCAGUCUAGCUGCAUCCUACCAGAUACUAGUAGAACCCGAAACAUUGUUUUGACAAGUACUGUCAUAUUUCGGUUGCAGAUUUUCACUAAAUACCAAUAAAAAGAUUCACAUUUUCGUGAUCCUCGUCAAAUUUGGGGCCGACUCCAUGUAUCAGCUCAAAAUACCCGAAAAUCGUCAAAGAAUCGCAAAUUUUCCUGAACAAAAAUAAAACGAAAACAAAGUGCCGAUUUUUUGUACAAAAAAGUCGGGCUUAAUAGCUGAAAUAUAUUUCAAUAGAUGGCAGUGCAUCUAAGGUCUAGUCGAAUUUACAUUCGUCUGAAGUGCGCCAUCGCCAUCGUGAACGAAGCAUGGGUCACUACAAAUCAUCUUCUGAUACGUGGUCCGGUUUAUAAAAAUCUUUUAUUGCUUUAAUAUGUCAUUUUGUAAUUCCUUGGGCUUAAACACUCUCUAGUCAACAAAGAAACUGCUUUUCUCACUUUACUUUUACCAAUUGUUUUUAUACUCGUACAUUUAGUUGAUUAUAGAAAACAUCUUGCCAUUCACACGAAUGCCUUUGUCUUAUCUGAUCGUGUUAACAUGCUAAUUCGUUCUUGCCACUGACCGAAGCUUUUUUUUCAAAUUUUGCAUCUUUCUAAAAUUUAAUCACACACGAGCAUUCUGGCAUGUGUCAGGCAACAGGUUUCAGGAAUGGCAUGGUCCCCUGUUGAGCCUGGCCUACACCCUCGGUUAUUGAAAAAUGGUAUUGGAACAAGUAAUUACAUGGAGCUGGAGCGUCAAUUUGGGACUUGAUUUGUCAUCUUUUAGUUGAGGUGGAAAAACACAGAUUGGACUCACCAUUUUAUUCCCACACUUAUCAUUGGAAUUCUGGGAUGGUAGCUGUUGUUGCAGGACACUCUCCUUGGUUCGUUAGUGAAGUUCCAGAAAGCAGCAUUCCAAGAGCAAGAAUACAAUUUGCCAGCCGUCAACUCAAUAUAGAUUGUUUAACUUUGUUUUCUUGCCUUGAUGGUGAAAUUGAAUUAUAUUGAGAUUUAAAAAAUUUUGAAGCUAUUUGCCUACUAGUGAGAAAACAUGUGAAGAGUUGCUGAAAUGUGUCAACAGAGCAAAAUGCUAAACAUGGAUUAAAUUCGAAAAUAACUAGUUUGAGUUGCAGUGGCAGAAAUUUAAAGUUGGUGCCAGGAUAAUGGCUAUCCAUGUUGAGAAUUUGAAUUGCAAAUUCUAAUUCUACCUAUAGGUAAAAGUAUAUAAGUACUUGUUGCCUAUAGAUUGCUCAAUGUGAAUCUAAGUUUGCAUGUCUUGAAAUUGGUUUUCUUCUUCAAUUAUAAAAUUCAAUACACAAAGAUAUAAAUGGAA